UUUUGCAGGCUGAUCUCCCAGUUCUUUCUGAGGGGAAACAAAAGGGCAGGAGAGGAAAUGACAUACCCCAGGAGGGGAAUUGCAAACCGAGGAGUCCCCCCAGGCUUUGUUUCAGCUGACAAACGCCUUCCUCCCCCCUGCCCUGUUAGCCUUUCUUUUUGCAUCCUGGGAAAAGGUCUGAAUUUCGGGCCAGGGAAAGCGCUGGGGGAAGGAUGGGGUGGUGGGGGAGGGGAUGCUCUCCCUGCAUCGCCUCUCCUGCCUCCGGUCCUGUCUGCUUGUGGCCGAUCCCUUCGCUGCGCAGGGUGAUGGUGAUGUGGAGCGACACUUGACUGUGCGGAGCGGGGACACGGCAUCCCCCCCGCCAGCCGCUGCCCCUCCCGCAGCGCCGGGGACGAGCCGACAUCGCCUGGGGAGCUGCUCUGGGGGUGACGAUCAGCACCCCAAGCCUCAUCGCCAGCCCUCCUGCUCGAGGAGCAAACCCCUGCUUCAAAGUCUGGAGCCAGGAGGAGAGAGAUGGAAGCUUCCUUGUCAGCCCUUCAUCAUCAAGGUCAGGGCAAGAGGAACCUGAAAACAACAUCUGUAGAAAACAGACCUGAUUCCUCACCCCUGGAUCAAGAAGGCACAGUGGGACAAGGCUCCAGGGAAACCUUAUUGUGGCCUUUCGGUGCUAAAAAGUGGCCAAUAAGAAAGAUGGGGACAGACUUUUUAGCAAGGCCUGUUGUGAUAGGACAAGGGGUGAUGGUUUUAAAUCAAAAGAGGGAGAUUCAGGCUGGACAUGAAGAAGAAAUUGUUGGCACUGGGGGAGCUGGGAAGGUCCCUUCAACACAAACUAUUCUGUGAUUCUAUGACCUAGUUUUUAUGGCAGCAUUUAAUAUUUCCCCUGCAAGGCAAGCCAGCCCAGCUUCCUCUCCCUCCCUCUCGGCCAAGCAGCCAGACUGGGCUGCAGUCUUGCCUUCCUGGAGCUUAAGAGCUCAUCGGCAUGGGACGGAGGGGAAAAUGUGACUGUGCAGCCUCAUCAGGCACCCAGAUGUGCUGCUGAUUCAUCCGCUAGUUGCGUAAGCCCCGUCAGCGGGACGUGCUCACAGCCGGAGCUGCACGGGGAAGCAGCUGUUUCCUACUUGUGCACCAGCAUGGGGGCUGCAUGGAGGGACCAACCUCCAUACUGUGGGGAGAAGGACCACCCGUUGCUCAGGACACAACAUGGACCAGGGCAGAGGGAUCAGGAUCAUAGAAUCGUAGAACAGUUUGGGUUGGAAGGGACCUUCAGAGCUCAUCCAGUGCCUCCCCUGCCAUGAGCAGGGACAUCUUCAGGUUGCUCAGAGCCCCGUGCAGCCUGGCCUGGGAUGUCUCCAGGGAUGGUUCAUCCACCACCUCUCUGGCCAACCUGGGCCAGGCUCUCACCACCCUCAGGGACAACAAUUUCUUCCUCAUGUCCAGCCAGAAUGGGGUGCAGCACCUAAAAACCACAACAGCAAGGGGUGAAGGACCUGGAAAAGACAGAAUCGUCAUGCUAUGGCUGGUGGGAACCAGGUGAGCAGAUCCAGAAGCACUCAAGAAAGGAAGCCACAGGUGACCAAACCAGUCCUCCCAUCUUCGUGUUCAAAACCCAGAAGGGCAUUUUGCCAGCUUGAGUGAUCCAGUGGCCCUUGCAAAGGGACAAGGGACAAAUCUCCAUGGGAUGCUUCAUGCACUCGCUCAUGUAAUCGUGUGGAUAUAAUUUGAUUAUUCCUUCCUAGAUGUUUAGCGUCACAAAGGGAAAAUCCACCUUCAAGCUGAGCCACUGCUCCAGGAAUGGUCUGCGGGAAGAAGGGUCAGAAACUGGGCUGGUGAGGCUGCAGCACAAUUUAUGGCAUUAAAAAUAUCCUGUUUAAUUGGAA